rnacentral:rRNA from 1 species
AUGAACGCUGGCGGCGUGCCUAAUACAUGCAAGUCGAGCGCACAGACGAGGAGCUUGCUCCUCUGACGUUAGCGGCGGACGGGCGAGUAACACGUGGAUAACCUACCUAUAAGACUGGGAUAACUUCGGGAAACCGGAGCUAAUACCGGAUAAUAUAUUGAACCGCAUGGUUCAAUAGUGAAAGACGGUUUUGCUGUCACUUAUAGAUGGAUCCGCGCCGCAUUAGCUAGUUGGUAAGGUAACGGCUUACCAAGGCGACGAUGCGUAGCCGACCUGAGAGGGUGAUCGGCCACACUGGAACUGAGACACGGUCCAGACUCCUACGGGAGGCAGCAGUAGGGAAUCUUCCGCAAUGGGCGAAAGCCUGACGGAGCAACGCCGCGUGAGUGAUGAAGGUCUUCGGAUCGUAAAACUCUGUUAUUAGGGAAGAACAAAUGUGUAAGUAACUAUGCACGUCUUGACGGUACCUAAUCAGAAAGCCACGGCUAACUACGUG